CCUACGGGGGGCAGCAGUGGGGAAUAUUGGACAAUGGGGGGAACCCUGAUCCAGCGACGCCGCGUGAGUGAAGACGUAUUUCGGUAUGUAAAGCUCUAUCAGCAGGGAAGUAAGAAAUGACGGUACCUGACUAAGAAGCCCCGGCUAACUACGUGCAAGCAGCCGCGGUAAUACGUAGGGGGCAAGCGUUAUCCGGAUUUACUGGGUGUAAAGGGAGCGUAGACGGCGAUGCAAGUCUGAAGUGAAAGGCGGGGGCCCAACCCCCGGACUGCUUGGGAAACUGUAUGGCUGGAGUGCAGGGGAGGUAAGUGGAAUUCCUAGUGUAGCGGUGAAAUGCGUAGAUAUUAGGAGGAACACCAGUGGCGAAGGCGGCUUACUGGACUGUAACUGACGUUGAGGCUCGAAAGCGUGGGGAGCAAACAGGAUUAGAUACCCCAGUAGUC
rnacentral:rRNA from 1 species